UGGAUCCAGACUUUGAUCAUGGCUCAGGAUGAACGCUAGCUACAGGCUUAACACAUGCAAGUCGAGGGGCAGCAUGGUCUUAGCUUGCUAAGGCCGAUGGCGACCGGCGCACGGGUGAGUAACACGUAUCCAACCUGCCGUCUACUCUUGGACAGCCUUCUGAAAGGAAGAUUAAUACAAGAUGGCAUCAUGAGUCCACAUGUUCACAUGAUUAAAGGUAUUCCGGUAGACGAUGGGGAUGCGUUCCAUUAGAUAGUAGGCGGGGUAACGGCCCACCUAGUCUUCGAUGGAUAGGGGUUCUGAGAGGAAGGUCCCCCACAUUGGAACUGAGACACGGUCCAAACUCCUACGGGAGGCAGCAGUGAGGAAUAUUGGUCAAUGGGCGAGAGCCUGAACCAGCCAAGUAGCGUGAAGGAUGACUGCCCUAUGGGUUGUAAACUUCUUUUAUAAAGGAAUAAAGUCGGGUAUGCAUACCCGUUUGCAUGUACUUUAUGAAUAAGGAUCGGCUAACUCCGUGCCAGCAGCCGCGGUAAUACGGAGGAUCCGAGCGUUAUCCGGAUUUAUUGGGUUUAAAGGGAGCGUAGAUGGAUGUUUAAGUCAGUUGUGAAAGUUUGCGGCUCAACCGUAAAAUUGCAGUUGAUACUGGAUAUCUUGAGUGCAGUUGAGGCAGGCGGAAUUCGUGGUGUAGCGGUGAAAUGCUUAGAUAUCACGAGGAACUCCGAUUGCGAAGGCAGCCUGCUAAGCUGCAACUGACAUUGAGGCUCGAAAGUGUGGGUAUCAAACAGGAUUAGAUACCCUGGUAGUCCACACGGUAAACGAUGAAUACUCGCUGUUUGCGAUAUACUGCAAGCGGCCAAGCGAAAGCGUUAAGUAUUCCACCUGGGGAGUACGCCGGCAACGGUGCAA
rnacentral:rRNA from 1 species